rnacentral:rRNA from 1 species
GAAUGGGCCAGGGCCCUUACAUAUGGGGAAAGAAAAAUUCUGCAAGCAUCCCCUGGCCCUUGUAGAGCGCAAAAAUAUUUUUUAAAACGUGUGCCCGGGUGAGAAUCCUGCGUUUAGUUCGAUGUCCGCUGCCACAGUGCUUGUUCUGAGAGUCACGCUCCUCGGAAUUGGAGCGUAAAUCAGGUGGUAAGUUUCAUCCAAAGCUAAAUAGAAGCUCGAGACCAAUAGCAAACAAGUACCAUGAGGGAAAGAUGAAAAGGACUUUGGAAAGAGAGUUAAAAGUGUUUGAAAUUGCUGAGAGCGAAGCGAACGGAGCCACAUGUUGUGCUGAGAUUGCUGUGGGUCUUUGUGAGCCUUGAGCAUGUAAGCGCAAGCUGACUGCUUAUGCGUGAGCAUUUGUCCGCAGUGUUUUUUAGCAUGCGAAGUCAUUUCCACAUUUGUUUGAGGAUGGCCUUCAGCUCACAUGGGACACUUGUUUGUGUGCCUCUGUGCGGGGGGGGACUCAAACAAGGGGGGCUUUGUUGCCCAAUGGUUUUUUUUUA